rnacentral:rRNA from 1 species
AUUGAACGCUGGCGGCAGGCCUAACACAUGCAAGUCGAACGAGUGGCGGACGGGUGAGUAAUGUCUGGGAAACUGACUGAUGGAGGGGGAUAACUACUGGAAACGGUAGCUAAUACCGCAUACCAUCAGAUGUGCCCAGAUGGGAUUAGCUUGUUGGUGGGGUAACGACUCACCAAGGCGACGAUCCCUAGCUUGUCUGAGAGGAUGACCAGCAACACUGGAACUCAGACACGGUCCAAGCGCCUACGGGAGGCAGAAGUGGGGAAUAUUGAACAAUGGGCGCAAGCCUGAUGCAGCCAUGCCGCGUGUAUGAAGAAGGCCUUCGGGUUGUAAAGUACUUUCAGCGGGGAGGCGUUACCCGCAGAAGAAACACCUGCUAAAGCCGUGGCAGCAGCCGCGGUAAUAC